rnacentral:piRNA from 1 species
AGCAUGGAUAACAGGUAGCUACCACUGGU